rnacentral:rRNA from 1 species
UACGUAGGGGGCAAGCGUUGUCCGGAUUUAUUGGGCGUAAAGAGCGUGUAGGCGGCCAAGCAGGUCCGUUGUGAAAACUCGAGGCUCAACCUCGAGACGCCGAUGGAAACCAUGUGGCUAGAGUCCGGAAGAGGAGAGUGGAAUUCCUGGUGUAGCGGUGAAAUGCGCAGAUAUCAGGAAGAACACCCGUGGCUAAGGCGGCUCUCUAGUACGGUACUGACGCUGAGACGCGAAAGCGUGGGGAGCAAACAGG